UACGUAGGGGCCUAGCGUUGUCCGGAAUUACUGGGCGUAAAGCGCGCGCAGGCGGCCUUUCAAGUCAGGGGUGAAAGCCCGGAGCUCAACUCCGGAAUUGCCUUUGAAACUGUCAGGCUCGAGUACGGGAGAGGUGAGUGGAAUUCCCAGUGUAGAGGUGAAAUUCGUAGAUAUUGGGAAGAACACCGGUGGCGAAGGCGGCUCACUGGCCCGUUUCUGACGCUCAGGCGCGACAGCGUGGGGAUCAAACAGG
rnacentral:rRNA from 1 species